GUUGAUUAAAUAUAUUCUAAUGUUGUCAGGAAACAUAUGUCAGUCGUAUGCUACAAACGUCAAACUUACAGGCACGUUUGGGAAUAAAAUAAUAAAAUAAAACUUCAAUAAUCUAAUAAAAUUAACUAAUUACAAAUAGAAAAUAUCAUUAAGAUCGCUAUCGGCAGGUAAGGUGCCCAUGAAGGUGGCAACGUUACCUCUUUGUAUAGCCAAACUUAUCCAUUGACAGAGCUUUAGUGCUACCAGGACUUCAUAUGCAGAAAGAUGUUGUCUUUCCGUUCCCGCUACUGGGCAAUGUGUCAGCAAGCAAUUACAAAAAGCCAACGUAUGUUUUCGAUGGAGUCAUUCUAGCCGAGGUCCCGAACAAGAAAAUACAAAAUGAAUCUGGAGACUGUUAUUAUGAUCUUCAAAUCUGUCUCCAAAAACACACGCAUCAUGGGCCAGUGUGUGGUUUCGAUGAUUAUUUUUGGGGUUAUCGAGGAUAUAAUGGAUUUUGCGAUUUGGAAUAUCAAAAUUGUGAGAAUAAGAUAAAAUAUAAAAUAGAUAAAAGAGUCAUAUUUUACAUGGGCGAUGGUUAUGGCUGUCAAUUUGGAGAAUUCCCAGUUGCCCGUUCUCGACAAAAUUUCACUUAUGGAUUUCGUAAAUUAUUUUAUGAUUUUAGAAACAGACGGCUAAAGAAACGCUACUUUAUUGAUUUAAUAUAAAUAAAUAAUAGUU